UACGUAGGGAGCAAGCGUUGUCCGGAAUCAUUGGGCGUAAAGAGCUCGUAGGCGGUUUGUCGCGUCUGCUGUGAAAACCUAAGGCUCAACCUUGGGCUUGCAGUGGGUACGGGCAGACUAGAGUGCGGUAGGGGUGACUGGAAUUCCUGGUGUAGCGGUGGAAUGCGCAGAUAUCAGGAGGAACACCGAUGGCGAAGGCAGGUCACUGGGCCGCAACUGACGCUGAGGAGCGAAAGCAUGGGGAGCGAACAGG
rnacentral:rRNA from 1 species